GAUGAACGCUGGCGGCGUGCCUAAUACAUGCAAGUCGAGCGAACGGACGAGAAGCUUGCUUCUCUGAUGUUAGCGGCGGACGGGUGAGUAACACGUGGAUAACCUACCUAUAAGACUGGGAUAACUUCGGGAAACCGGAGCUAAUACCGGAUAAUAUUUUGAACCGCAUGGUUCAAAAGUGAAAGACGGUCUUGCUGUCACUUAUAGAUGGAUCCGCGCUGCAUUAGCUAGUUGGUAAGGUAACGGCUUACCAAGGCAACGAUGCAUAGCCGACCUGAGAGGGUGAUCGGCCACACUGGAACUGAGACACGGUCCAGACUCCUACGGGAGGCAGCAGUAGGGAAUCUUCCGCAAGGGGCGAAAGCCUGACGGAGCAACGCCGCGUGAGUGAUGAAGGUCUUCGGAUCGUAAAACUCUGUUAUUAGGGAAGAACAUAUGUGUAAGUAACUGUGCACAUCUUGACGGUACCGAAGCAGAAAGCCACGGCUAACUACGG
rnacentral:rRNA from 1 species